GUUCAUGGAACUCGUUCUUUUUCACUCAACUCCAGUAUCAGAAGGCUAUAACCAUGAGGAGUGGAGCCCAGUCCAGUGGCUACGUCUAUAAAACAUCCCCACCACUAAAUCUGUGGGAACCCCGGGAAAGAGAAGUCAGAGGUUAGACAGAUUGUAAGAUCCAGAUGAUCAAGGACUUUGCUGUGAGACUCUGUCUCCUAGUAACAUAAAAGAGAAGAGUUCUGUUUAUACUAAAGUAACGAUAUGUCUUGCCAAAGGCUUGAAAAGGAAUAGGAAGCAAGCCUUAAUGCUCACAGCAUUGUAAGGAAGAGCAGCCUGCUUGCAUCCACAAAGAGAAGGAUCAUUAGGCAGUCCCACACAGUAAGGUAAACAAGACUUUUCUGAGAAUGUAAAGGGUGGAAGAAGAUGCUGGACUCACAUCAUCAGCACAUUCGCACAUCGGCACCACCAAAGCUGCCGUAUCAC